GUGCUAAUAUAUUUUGUUUGGAUCACAAAUUGACAUAAAUCUAGUAUUUAAAACGGCAAGGACGCUCAAAUUGUUAACUUCCGGUCAAUCGUUCUAUGUGAAAAUUUUUACCACGAAUAGGUAUUUCAAAACGAACUAGCGACAGACUACAUCUAAAAACUGGAAAUUAAAGUGAAAAUGUAAUCUUCUGUAUUUUAUUAGGGUUUUAUUUUGCUAAUUAUCCAUGGCACAUAAUGUGACACAUUUGUGUAUAUUCCUGGAAAAGCUUCCAACCCACACCUGUUGGACCCAGAGGACACAAUUCCGACCACAUACCACACCAAGUCGUUAUUCUUAUUUCUGUUGGCAUUCAUCAAAGGCCCUCCACUGUCUCCGACGCAAGAAUCUUUGCCCUUUUCCCCCCCUACGCACAACUGACCUUCAGAUAAUUCUAACUUAAAAUUGUAAAUACGGAAGGCAUUUUGGCAGUGUAAUCGACUUUUAAGUGGAAGCUAAAAACCCCAAAGAAUGCUUCGAAAUCAAAAUAAAAUCAAUCAAGGUACCUCAACUUUUAGCUUAACGUUA